rnacentral:rRNA from 1 species
AGAACGAACGCUGGCGGCAUGCCUAAUACAUGCAAGUCGAACGAACUCUUCGGAGUUAGUGGCGCACGGGUGCGUAACGCGUGGGAAUCUGCCCCUUGGUUCGGAAUAACAGUUGGAAACGACUGCUAAUACCGGAUGAUGACGAAAGUCCAAAGAUUUAUCGCCAAGGGAUGAGCCCGCGUAGGAUUAGCUAGUUGGUGAGGUAAAGGCUCACCAAGGCAACGAUCCUUAGCUGGUCUGAGAGGAUGAUCAGCCACACUGGGACUGAGACACGGCCCAGACUCCUACGGGAGCAGCAGUAGGGAAUAUGGACAAUGGGACGAAAGCCUAGGAUCCGAGCAAUGACCGCGUGAGUGAUGAAGCCUUAGGUGUAAGCUCUUUACCGAG